rnacentral:tRNA from 1 species
GGGGUUGUGGCUCAGUGGUAGAGUGCUUGUCUAGCACGUAUGAGGCCUUGGGUUUGAUUCUCAGCACCA